rnacentral:rRNA from 1 species
GAUGAACGCUGGCGGCGUGCCUAAUACAUGCAAGUCGAGCGAACAGACGAGGAGCUUUCUCCUCUGACGUUAGCGUCGGACGUGUGAGUAACACGUGGAUCACCUACCUAUCAGACUGGGAUAACUUCGGGAAACCGGAGCGAAGACCGGGUAAUGUAUUGAACCGCAUGGUUCCAUAGUGAAAGUCGGUUUUGCUGUCACUUAUAGUGGGAUCCACGCCGCAUUAGCUAGUUGGUAAGGUAACGGCUUACCAAGGCACCGAUGCUUAGCCGACCUGAGAGGGUGAUCGGCCACACCGGAACUGAGACACGCUCCAGACUCCUACGGGAGGCAGCAGUAGGGAAUCUUCCGCAAUGGGCGAAAGCCUGACGGAGCAACGCCGCGUGAGUGAUGAAGGUCUUCGGAUCGUAAAACUCUGUUAUUAGGGAAGAACAAAUGUGUAAGUAACUAUGCACGUCUUGACGGGACCUAAUCAGAAAGCCACGGCUAACUACGU